AUAUCGGGAGGCAUGUACCGGUAUAUAAGUCACACGUUAGGCUUUUUUUAAUGCUUACUGACAGCGGAGAGGACUAGUAAGCUAGGUAAUAAACAUAUGUAUAUUGAUCGAGUGGAUUAAAUACCGAUAUUUAGCAUUGCCAUUGUAACACAAAAUAUUUUAAAUUGAGGUUCGGAUAUGAGUAUUUAGUGCGUAAUUACCUGUAAGUCUUAUGCGGUGGUUAAACGGCAAACAAUAUAUUAUUCUUCAACUGACAAAAUGGGUUACGUGCUCGUAUUUUUGGCAGUGUUAUCAUGGAAAGCUAUUGGAGUUUCAACCGAUACAUGCGCAUCCCAGAUGUCAUGUAAAUCCUGUACAAAGAAAAACACCUACAUACCAUUCCUAGAUGUUAAGUGCCGGUGGUGUCCGCUGGACAGGAAAUGUCACACAUUUGGCUCAGAAGAAAUAUCUUUCAUUGGAGAAGAUAACAACCCUUGUUUAACAGAUAUGAAUGUAAAAGAAUCUUCUCUCUGUGACAGCAACAUCAAAAAUCAAAUAUACAAUGAAAGCAAGGCAUUGAUGUUCGCCAAACUGUCCGCUGUUGCAUACGCUGAACCUGAGUAUCUCUCUAAGUGCAUCAAUCAUAUUUUGCCAAAUGAUAACUUUGAAAUUGUUGAAGCAAUUGGAAGAAAAUGUGAGAGAUGGUUUGACUAUAAGGAAUGUUUCGCAUAUACAGCUAUAUCAAACAAGACAAAAACGAUUCUCGUAGGCUAUCGCGGCACGGCAGGAGGUUUUAAACAACUUGCAGAUGAAGGGGAGGUAGAGCAGAUUAUGCUAUCCAAUUGGAGCGAUCCAAUAGCUACUAUUGCAUAUAGAAUAUGGCGUGGACAGGUUAAUACAUAUUUCGGUUUUGCCUUUCAAAGACUAUAUGAUCCAUGUAUUCGACAAAGCGUCAAAAAGCUCGCAACUCAGUACAAAAAUUGAGAAGUGGUAGUUACAGGUCACUCAUUAGGUGGCGCACUGGCAUCUUUGACUGCUUACGCUCUAGUAAAAGAGGGCGUUGUUGCGAAAGAUCGAAUGACAUUGUACACGUUUGGAAUGCCGCGUGUUGGUGACAAGACAUACUCAUUUGAUCAUGACAAGGCCGUUCCAAAUAGUUGGCGUAUCAUCCAUUGGCGUGACUUAGUUCCAAGGAUUCCCUUCAUAGCAUGUGGAUAUUAUCAUCAUAAAACUGCGGUCUUGUAUCCUAAAGAUAUGCCCCUAGGCUCAAAAUACACAAUUUGCACAGACAACGAAGACGUAGCAUGCCAUCAACUUCCAGACCUUUCAAUUUCCCAACACAAGUCGUAUUUUGGACUAGACUUAGGCGGUUACUGCAAAACCAAUUAAAAAUACAAACGGGAUACGGAAGAGCCUCGAUUCCCCGAGGACCACUGCAAGGUUAUUUCGUUGAAAGAUGCAGAUGAAAUAAUUAACAAAGAAAUAAGGACACUCACAAGCUCUGUUUGCGACUUUCAAAAGGACUUCUGUGACUGGACGCGUGCCAGUGGAAGUACGUUCUCCUUCAAAAGGAUCAAAGGACCGAGCGAUGAAGCGGGUAAAACAGGACCGGCAUACGAUAGACGUAAAUCUUUAUCAGGUUACUAUAUAUUCGCUGAUGCCAGUAAUAACGAGGGACAAAUCGCCAAAAUUCGCUCACCGAAUUUCCCGGCCGGAUCGUACUGUGUAGAGUUCUACUACCACGUGUUUGGUGUUUUGUAUAAAGGGAACUUAAAAUUGGUGAUGUACACAACAGAAACAAAAAGUGAGGAAAUAUUCAGCAAUUAUGUCUCACUUGGUGAUCAAUGGAAUCGUUUCCGCGCCGACGUAAAAGCUGACACUCUACGUAAUGGAACAUUUCACUUCGAAUUUGAGGCGAGGAUAGGUAAUUCGUUCACCAGCGACGUCGCUCUCGAUGACAUAAGCAUCACAAAAGGGCGAUGUCCAAAAUAGCAGGAAAACAUAACAGAAACAUCACCAAAUGAUAAACAUUCGUUCAAGUUGGUCUUUGCGUUUGACUAUAAUAUACGUUAGGUAAAAACGUGAUGCAAUGUAAAUUGCAUUUAAUGUAUUCUAGAUAUGGGGUAAAACGUGAAUGAAAAAGACAGCACUUGUAGUAAAGAUCAUUAUUAAAAUUUGCGUUGAAAUAAUAAUUUAUAACACUUACAUCGUUAGGCGAUAUUUUUUUUAAGUUUUUGGUAUAUACAUCGAUGUUGUAUAAUUAACAUAAAUUCCAAUCAAGAAUUUCCUUUUCGUAUAAUGCACUUAAAUAAUUUGGGGAAACAUUCAAAUGAAUAUAAAACAUUUUCAGGCAAAUGCUGCUUUUUAAAAUUGUAUUUCAUUAUUGUGUAAUGCAUUCACCUUUGAGCUACAUUUACAAGGCGCAUUACUUUAAAACAAAUGUGGGUAAAAAGUGGACUAGUGCAAACUAAUUAAUCUCACUGAAACCUUUGAAUUUGGAAGCCAUGGUAUCAUAUUCAGUGAGAAACUUAUGAAGUUUUCAUUAGUAAUCAACGUUGGAAAUACAGUAUGUGUUAGUUGAUUGAAGUUUAAGGUUUGUUAAUCAUUUGUUGGUCUAUAGCCGUGGCAAUACAUGUACAUUGUCAUCGGGGUUUUUUUCUAGUGUGGUGCGUGUUGUUUGUGUUGUUUUGUUUUAAGCGUGUUUUAUAAAAACAUAUCUUUGACUCACCUAUCAAGUUCUUACACCCGCUAGAAAGACUUCACAAGUUACAGCUCACCUUAUGUAAAUUGUAAUAAAUAACAUAUAUAUCUGUAGAUAGUAUUUUUUUCUAAUUUAGUUUAAGUUUGGUUUAUGAAGUUUCGUUUAAAUAGAGUCUAUAGAAUCUUGGUAUGGUAUACACCUGUUAAUCUUUAUCGUGAAACAUUGUUCAUAUUUACUGUUCGUUGUUCGGAAACGAGGAUUGUCGUUAGUUUGAAUUUACUAGAUGAAAAUGUAUAAUUAAAUGUAUAUAUUCUGUUUGCGUAGCAUUAUUCUAAAAAUUUGUGUCAACCUUUAGAGAUAAAAGGCACCAGUGGAUACCGUGGUUUAUACUUAUUUAUUUACCGGUAAAAAGAACGAGCAUAACAAACGCACCCACGCAUAAGGGGUCGAUACAAGUUUCUGGCAUCUCUGCCCAUCUAGAUCAGGGAUCAAACCUCAAAGUCAUUUCGAAAUCAAGAACCGCCACACAUGAAAACACACAAAACAGAUUUUUUUUAAAUCAAUAGGCAUGUUGCUUCUUAUAAGUAGGGCCAACAUACUUCAAAUAAUGUGUAAACUAGCUAGCUUGAUUUAUUCCAGGAGUUUGUGAUUUUUUUUUCUCGCUUCCGGCCUAUUUUUAGCAAAUUUCAACAACAAAUUGAUUAUUUCCUGUUUGUCCGACCAGUCUCAAAAACCGCAUUUUAACAUGCCAGCUUCUGAAAAACGUAUCUACAACAGAGAUAAUUCUCAGUCAAAUGAUUAAAAUUUCCGAAUAUGGCAACCAGAGCUGGUUAUAUAUCUGUUUGCGAAUUAAGCGAUUCCGACUUAAAGUGUAACAGUCUGGUUUCCAGUAGCAAUAGUGUAAUAUUUUAUAGACAUUCUAUUUAAACAAAUAUAGCUUAAAUUUGACAUUAAUGACUUUUUAAACACUUAAAAUGGUGCUUAGUUGCACAACAUUUUCUCUCUUAAGGAAUUGUCUCGUAUCAAAUUUGUCUUUGAUGCUUUAAAAGGGUGUUGUGUAGCCUCAAGUUGGUUCUGUGGAACCUUGCACAAUAUAGAAUUCAUAUCAAUAGUUUUUCUCGUAAUAUGUUGCUUACAAAACAGCGUUUCAGCCAGCACUCCAAACAUGCUCGUUUCAGUAAAUAACGAUUAACUAUA